UCUCAUGGGGCAUGGUGGCACACACCUGUAAUCCCAGCUACUCGGAGGAUGAGGUGGGAGGAUCACAUGAGUCCAAGAGUUCUGGGCUGCAGUGAGCUAUGCCAAUCGGGUGUCCUCACUGUCCACACUAAGUUUGGCAUCAAUAUGGUGACCUCCUGGGAGCAAGGGAACACAAGGUUGCCUAAGGAAGGGUGAACCAGCCCAGGUUGGAAAGAGAGUAGGUCAAAACUCCCGUGCUGAAAGACUACUCUCAACUACAAUAUGUAGAAAACAAAAUCAGUACUUUCAUGAUCACCUUGGGAUUUAACACUUU
ensembl:misc_RNA Metazoa_SRP Metazoan signal recognition particle RNA